AGAGUUUGAUCCUGGCUCAGGAUGAACGCUAGCUACAGGCUUAACACAUGCAAGUCGAGGGGCAGCGAUGAAGAAAGCUUGCUUUCUUCAGGCGGCGACCGGCGCACGGGUGAGUAACGCGUAUCGAACCUGCCUCAUACUCAGGAAUAGCCUUGCGAAAGUAAGAUUAAUGCCCGAUGUUAUUAGGAUAUCACAUGAUGUUUUAAUUAAAGAUUUAUCGGUAUGAGAUGGCGAUGCGUCCCAUUAGCUUGUUGGCGGGGUAACGGCCCACCAAGGCAUCGAUGGGUAGGGGUUCUGAGAGGAAGGUCCCCCACAUUGGAACUGAGACACGGUCCAAACUCCUACGGGAGGCAGCAGUGAGGAAUAUUGGUCAAUGGACGCAAGUCUGAACCAGCCAAGUAGCGUGCAGGAUGACGGCCCUCUGGGUUGUAAACUGCUUUUAGUUGGGAAUAAAGUGCACCACGUGUGGUGUUUUGUAUGUACCAUCAGAAAAAGGACCGGCUAAUUCCGUGCCAGCAGCCGCGGUAAUACGGAAGGUCCAGGCGUUAUCCGGAUUUAUUGGGUUUAAAGGGAGCGCAGGCGGACCUUUAAGUCAGCUGUGAAAUACGGCGGCUCAACCGUCGAACUGCAGUUGAUACUGGAGGUCUUGAGUGCACACAGGGAUACUGGAAUUCAUGGUGUAGCGGUGAAAUGCUCAGAUAUCAUGAAGAACUCCGAUCGCGAAGGCAGGUAUCCGGGGUGCAACUGACGCUGAGGCUCGAAAGUGCGGGUAUCAAACAGGAUUAGAUACCCUGGUAGUCCGCACAGUAAACGAUGAAUACUCGCGAUUUGCGAUACACAGUAAGUCGCCAAGCGAAAGCGUUAAGUAUUCCACCUGGGGAGUACGCCGGCAACGGUG
rnacentral:rRNA from 1 species